GGCUUGAUGGCGGACGGUCCGCACCUACCUGUCUUACAGUCGAUUUGCAAGCUUAUCGCACGAGGCGCCCGUUCGACUCGGGCUCGAGCCA